CAUUUGUAAUUUCUCAUUGUUCAUUUCGAGGCAGUCUUUUACGAAAAUGGCGCGUUUUUUUCUAGCUGAAUAUUGUGUUUGUGCGAAAGUACGGCUUGAUUUAAUCCCUUCCUGUAAAAUCUUAAGAGAAAAGUAGAGGUGUGGCGCGGCCAUACAUUGGCAUAAAGGAGGGCAUCUUUUUUAAAUGGCGUAUUCCAUGGUCUUGGAAAUGGAGAUGUUCUACAAUCUUUUAGAAAUGUGAUGCCGCUAUUGAUUGCCACAAAGGCCUUCUUAAAAUGAUGCAUGCCAUCGUCUUGGAAACGGAAUCCAACUACGCAAGCAGCAAUGCAUCCAAAGGAGUGAGAGGCAUUCGAAAACCAUACCAGGACAUUAUUCAAAAAUUAAAUUUGGAAACGUAAUCGGCGCGGAAGGAAAAAAAUAUACCAGCAGACAAACAUGCUACGAUCUUGCACAUUCAAUUUAUAAGCAUAAUUAAUGCUAGAAUUUAUUAUUGAAAUUAAAUAAAACGAAAUAUCAAAUGUCAUUUAUCUAUUAAGUAGCUUAAAUUGUUUCCCGGUUGAAUGUUUUAUUGAUCUCGCUAUGGAAAUGAAUGAAAAGUAAAUUAUA